UGUGGUCCGCUCAAAUAGUAGAUGUUCUUCUGGGAAAAGCUCCCACGUAUGAGUAUGCUGACGAUGGCAGCGUACCAGAGCAAAAAUUGGAGAAUAAAGAUCACCACACAAUCCCUUAUUGUUUUGAUGAGUGGGUCCGUAACACUGAAGACAAGCAACAAAAGAAUGGGAACGAGAAGAUUAACAUGAAAGAAAAGGUGCGUGAGACACCGAUAUUAAUAGCUGCAAAGAACGGAGUGACAGAAAUGGUAGAGAAAAUCAUGGAGUUGUUUCCUGUAGCUGUUCAUGAUAUGGAUGCGAAUAAGAAAAAUAGUGUUAUUGGCAGUGGAGAACAGGCAAACCUACUUAUAUGACUUAUUGCUCAAGAAGAAAAAUCUGAAGGAGAGUAUAUUCGGGAGUUUGGAUAACGAAGGAAAUAGUGCAUUGCAUUUGGCAGCCAAGCUUGGAGACUAUAAACCUUGGCUCUUUCCUGGCGAACCGCUGCAAAUGCAUUGGGAAAUCAAAUGGUACCUGUUUGUCAAGGAAACGAUGCAACCGCAUUUCUUUAGACGGUACAACAACAAAAAAAAAAGACACCAAGAGAUAUCUUCAGCGAGACUCACAGGGACCUUCUCAAUAGUGGUGGAGAAUGGCUAAAAAAAACCUCGGAAUCCUGUUCCGUGGUAGCAGCACUGAUAGCCACAGUGGCAUUUUCCACUUCCACCACUGUCCCCGGUGACUUUAAAGAUGACAUAGGGACCCCAACUCUUGGAUACAGGCCAGAGUUUAAAGCCUUUGCCAUCUCAUCUCUCAUUGCUCUAUGCUGUUCUGUCACCUCAAUGGUGAUUUUCCUCUCAAUACUCACAUUUCGGUAUCAAGAGCGUAAUUUCGGUAAAAUUCUUCCAAGGAAGCUUAUCGUGGGUUUGACAUCGUUGUUCAUGUCCAUUACCUCUAUAAUGGUCUGUUUCUGUGUUGGUCAUUUCUUUAUCCUAGAGGGCAAACUCAAAUCAGUUGCAUUCCCUGUCUAUGCCAUGACAUGCCUGCCGGUGACACUUUUUGCCUUGGCUCAAUUUCCACUCUACAUCGAUCUCAUAUUGGCUACUUUUAAGAAAGUGCCACAACGUGGCUACAAAACCCCUCUACAAUAGCUGUACGACCAGCAUUAUAGCAGAGCUAAAAUAAUACUGCAUGUAAUCGCAUUGUCGAUAUAUGGAGCUUAAUGCAGACCUUGCAUUUAUAGACUACAC